rnacentral:rRNA from 1 species
UACGAAGGUGGCAAGCGUUGUUCGGAUUUACUGGGCGUACAGGGAGCGUAGGCGGUUGGAUAAGCCCUCCGUGAAAUCUCCAGGCUUAACCUGGAAAGUGCAGAGGGGACUGUUCAGCUAGAGGAUGGGAGAGGAGCGCGGAAUUCCCGGUGUAGCGGUGAAAAUGCGUAGAGAUCGGGAGGAAGGCCGGUGGCGAAGGCGGCGCUCUGGAACAUUUCUGACGCUGAGGCUCGAAAGCGUGGGGAGCAAACAGG